AUUGAACGCUGGCGGCAGGCCUAACACAUGCAAGUCGAGCGGAGCGGCGGACGGGGGAGUAAUGCCUAGGAAUCUGCAUGGUAGUGGGGUAUAACGUACGGAAACGGGCGCUAAUACAGCAUACUAUCAGAGGAGCCUAGGUGGGAUUAGCUAGUUGGACGGGUAAAGGCCUACCAAGGCGACGAUCCGUAAAUGGUCUGAGAGGAUGAUCAGUCACACUGGAACUGAGACACGGCCCAGACUCCUACGGGAGGCAGCAGUGGGGAAUCUUGGACAAUGGGCGAAAGCCUGAUCCAGCCAUGCCGCGUGUUUGAAGAAGGUUUUCGGAUUGUAAAGCACUUUAAGUUGGGAGGCGUUACCAAACGAAUAAGCACCGGCUAACUUCGUGCCAGCAGCCGCGGUAAUUC
rnacentral:rRNA from 1 species